rnacentral:lncRNA from 1 species
UUUUUUUUUUUUUUUUUUAAUGGCUGGGCCUGCAGCACAUGGAAGUUCCCAGCCUAGGGGUUGAAUCAGAGCUGCCGCUGCUGGUCGACACCACAGCCACAGCAACCAGAUCUGAGCCACAUCUGCAACUUCCUCCACAGCUUGUGGCAACGCUUGAUCCUUAGCCCACUGAGAGGGGCCAGGGGUUAGCGUUAGGGUUAGGGUUAGAGGGUUAGGGUUAGGGUUAGGGUUAGGGGUUAGGGUUAGGGUUAUGGUUAGGGUUAUCCCACAUCCUCAUGGAUACUAGUCGAGUUAACCCACUGAGCCACAAUGGGAACGCCCCGGGUAGUAUUUUUUAUGACGACUCUUAGACAUUUCAGAAGCAGAGGGUCCACUUGUGACUGUCCAUGUACCAAGAACGCCCUUCUCCGGGUCUCCCUUUCCACUGUCCCUUCCAUUUCCUUGGCAACGAGGACAAGACAUCGAAACUGAGCUUUGCCGUAGAGGUUUUAAGGCUCAGGUCUCCUUUCUUGGGCCUGCAGGUAAAAUAUGCAGCUAUCGUUAUAGACCUGCCGAGUCAUGAUUCCAAAGCUGCCAGCACUCGCGUGCCACCCGCCUUCCUGCCAUCCCUGGUUACCGUGCCCUGUGGUCAUUUUCUGCUGUUUCUCAGGAGGAACUAGAAGGGACCCGGGGAGGGCCAGCAGGGAGGGUGCCAAGGAGGCUGCCAGAAGCCAGCAGGGAGGGUGCCAAGGGGGCUGCCAGAAGCCAAACUGGUAAAACAGGACGUCGGACUCAAUAGCAAUUACAGGAUCUGAUCAAUCUCUCUCUCUUUUAUUUUUGCAUUUUAGGGCCACACCCACCACGUGUAGAAGUACCCAGCCUAGGGGUUGAAUCAAAGCUGCAGCUGCCGGCUUAUACCACAGCUCACAGCAAUGCUGGAUCCUUAACCCGCUGAGCGAGGCCAGGGAUUGAACCGGCAACCUCAUGGAUGCCAGUUGGAUUCGUUUCCACUGCGCCAGGGCGGGAACUCCCUCUCUCUGUUUCUAAAAGACAAUUGAUCAGUUUUGUGAGCCUUGGAGUUCCCAGUCUUCGCAGGGCCUGAGAAGAAAAGCUUUCUAUUCUUAGCCAUGGACGAAAUGAAGAGGCAGGCUGGUCCCCGCACCCCAUCUAGUGGUCGUUCCUGCCGCAACAAAGAGCAGCCUUUUGUGUUCAAAAUCCAGGACAGGGGUGGGAUCGAAGCCAGAUUUUCUCAGACCUUCCACUGUUCUCUGUUAUCAAUUAAGCCACCUGGAAAAAGUAUAUGAAUUCUUCAAGCUGUGAGAUUAUCAGCCAGUGAAACGUAAGGCUGAUACUUAAAGAAGAAAUGCAUUUCUUUGACUAUUUAAAUUAAAUGAGAGGCAGUUAUCAAAGAACUUCCUAGUUCAUGACCAGCCUAAAUAAACCCUUACGUCCCCUUUUUAUGCCCCUUCCCUCUUCUCAGAGGAAGGUAUAUCUUUAACAUAAUUUUCUAAAGCAGGAAUUUAGGGAGUUCCCAUGGUAGCUCAGCGGGUUAAGAACCCCUCAUACUCUCUCUGAGGAUGCAGGCUCCAUCCCUGGCCUCGCUCGGUGGGUUAAGGAUCUACUGUUGUAGUGAGCUGGGUGUGGGUUGCAGAUGCGGCUUGGAUCCCGUGUUGUCAUGGCUUCGGCUCUGAGUCGACCCCUCGCCCAGGAACUUCCAUGUGCCACAGGUGUGGCCAUAAAAAAGAAAAAAAUAAUAAAGCAGGAAUCUAGAGUUCGGCUCAGUCACCUUUUACUAUUACAAGUGUCUUUUUAAAUACCCUAUCGUUUGCUCAGGUGCUGCUAAAGGCUUACGCUUUUUCAAACAAGCAACAAAACGCUAAGAAUGUCCUGCCAUUUGGAAACGGUUACUCCAUCCUAAUUUUUUUUCCCUGCAAAUUCCAAGCAAGUGAUUGAUUUAUCCCUGAAGACACUCUCACUAAUGAAAAAGAAACCCUUUAAGAACACUCCAGUUAAGUGGUCGUAGCUGCACAAAGCCCUGUGUGAAGAAAUAGCAUAUGAUUAGGUUGGAAGCAAUUUAGCCAAAGCAGUUUGGCCCACAGUGAUAGAACCAAAGUAAGAUGUUCGACUUAAAAGCCUAAUUGAAAAGGAAUAUUCUUCCAAUGACUGUGUUUGUCUUUUAAGUACCGGCGUCUCAAGAUGCUUUCUUAAAAUAUCUAAGGAGGGAAAGAUUUCCACUUUAUUCCUUCCUAAUUUACUUUAGAAAAAAAAAAAAUCACAUUCCUUUGUUACUGCACUGUACUCUUUGUGAUAGCAGAAGGAUGGAAAAUUCCAGAUGCCCACACCCCGAGAAUCUUGAUGUUUUUCUAGUGAUUAUCUCUGGGUCAUUCAUGUUGUGAUGUGCUCUUUAAAGGGAGAACACUUUCAUUUUUCUGCAUCCGUGUAUUAAAGACAGGGCCAAAUGGAGCUCCC